rnacentral:rRNA from 1 species
CACGUAGGUGGCGCUACAAGUUGGAUGUGAAAGCUCUCGGCUUAACUGAGAGAGGUCAUUCAAAACUGUAGUGCUCGAGGCUGAAAGAGGAGAGUGGAAUUCCCGGUGUAGUGGUGGAAUGCGUAGAUAUCGGGAGGAACACCAGUGGCGAAAGCGGCUCUCUAGUUCACGCCUGACGCUGAGGUGCGAAAGCGUGGGUAGCGAACG